rnacentral:rRNA from 1 species
AUUGAACGCUGGCGGAAUGCUUUACACAUGCAAGUCGAACGGUAGAGGGGGCAACCCCUUGAGAGUGGCGAACGGGUGAGUAAUAUAUCGGAACGUGCCCAGUCGUGGGGGAUAACGUAGCGAAAGUUACGCUAAUACCGCAUACGAUCUAAGGAUGAAAGCGGGGGACCGUAAGGCCUCGCGCGAUUGGAGCGGCCGAUAUCAGAUUAGGUAGUUGGUGGGGUAAAGGCUCACCAAGCCAACGAUCUGUAGCUGGUCCGAGAGGACGACCAGCCACACUGGAACUGAGACACGGUCCAGACUCCUACGGGAGGCAGCAGUGGGGAAUUUUGGACAAUGGACGCAAGUCUGAUCCAGCCAUUCCGCGUGCAGGAUGAAGGCCCUCGGGUUGUAAACUGCUUUUGUACGGAACGAAACGGUGAGUGCUAAUACCAUUUGCUAAUGACGGUACCGUAAGAAUAAGCACCGGCUAACUACGUG